rnacentral:rRNA from 1 species
GAUGAACGCUGGCGGCGUGCCUAAUACAUGCAAGUCGAGCGAACAGACGAGGAGCUUGCUCCUCUGACGUUAGCGGCGGACGGGUGAGUAACAUGUGGAUAACCUACCUAUAAGACUGGGAUAACUUUGGGAAACCGGAGCUAAUACCGGAUAAUAUAUUGAACCGCAUGGUUCAAUAGUGAAAGACGGUUUUGCUGUCACUUAUAGAUGGAUCCGCGCCGCAUUAGCUAGUUGGUAAGGUAACGGCUUACCAAGGCGACGAUGCGUAGCCGACCUGAGAGGGUGAUCGGCCACACUGGAACUGAGACACGGUCCAGACUCCUACGGGAGGCAGCAGUAGGGAAUCUUCCGCAAUGGGCGAAAGCCUGACGGAGCAACGCCGCGUGAGUGAUGAAGGUCUUCGGAUCGUAAAACUCUGUUAUUAGGGAAGAACAAAUGUGUAAGUAACUAUGCACGUCUUGACGGUACCUAAUCAGAAAGCCACGGCUAACUACGUG